CCCUACUUCAUACCUCUUUAUUUAGGUUCAAGGUCUUAGUCUGUAUAGUCGCCACCAAUUAAUCUCUACUACUGAAGUCAAAAAGAUUAAAUCACUUUUACCUUGUAAUAAUAGUCUUUCACAAAUAUCCAAUAUUUGCUGCUUUUUAUUUUGCUGUUGGGACACCAUGAUAAGAAAAGAGAGGAAGAAUAGAGCAGCAAAAGAUGAAUUAAGAUUGUGUAUAAAUGAGGUAGAGCCCCACACCAGGCUGCUGUUGUCUUACAGGAAAUUCAAACAACCAGUUCCCCUUUUGAAGAUGUGGCUGGUGUCAUCCUUAGAUUGGGAAGGAAGAGAAUUCAUCUAUGUGUGUCUUAGUGUAGCUUCUGCUGAAAUUGUCUGGUGUCUGAAAGUCACUGCUUGGAGCUCACUUGAUAUGUAUGUCAGCCUUUCACUGAAGUUGGCAUGGGCUUCAUUAUUAAUAAAAUUACAUGCAUGCAUGCAUUACAGCUGAUUAGCAGACAGUGUAUUUUCAAGGAAACACUAGGUGUCUCUCUGUGGGGUGGUUUGAAAUGUUCCUUCAGGUUCUGCACAUCUAUACCAAUUGUGCACAGUUCAAGUUCUGUUUAUCCUUACCAAUGGUAUAUAGGGAUUUUUGGACUGUCAUUAGGGAGGUGAUGCUGGCCAUUAGGAGUGGACCAUAUACUUAUUAUUUUAGCUAUUAACUACAUUUUGUUUUUAAAUUAAAACGAACACAUUGACUACAUAUCUGGGUUGGCCUUUUUUCCAGUUAAUGGAUGAUCAUAUGUACAGUGAAUCUUCAGGAAACAGUGGCGCUAUUCUGUUUGUGUGGACGCACAUGGUGCUGAGGGUGAAAUGUUUCAACAGGUCAAAUACAGUCAUCAUGACAAUUUGUUUUCCCUUUCACCAUGGCAAGUACUUUAGCCCUAAGCCUGUUAUUUAGGGGUUAAAUGUAUUCCAUGGUGUAUUAGGCUGGAAUGUGCAAUAAAAAUAAAUUAUUUCAUUUUUACCACCUCUAAGCAAACUGCAGUUGCUCGGCUGCAUCAGUAAGGAAAAAACACUUGAAAACUUCAAAGUGCUGUGAAAGAUUCCUUCUCCCUUUCUAUCCAUGAAACCUAACAACUGUGUCUGCUUUAUUCAUUUGAAUAAGAAGCUAAUCAUGCCAUAGAUGCUUCUAAGAAAUGGAGCAUUAGAGAAACUCCAUGUUGCAUCUGAGCUGAAGGUAUUGUGAACCUUUAGAGAGAGAAGAAUCAUUUGAAUUAUAAUGUAGAUCCUAAAACAUGAGAAAAGUUUUUAAAAAUAAUGAAAUACUUAAUACUUCCACUAAAUUACACUGUAGCCAAAAUAGAGUCAUAGACUCAUAGAACAGUUUGGGUUAGAAGGCACCUUUCCCAGCCAUCUACUCUAACACCCCCUGCAGUGAGCAGGGACACCUUCAACUAGAUCAGGUUGCUCAGAGACCCACACAGCCUGACCUUGAAUGUCUCCAGAAAUGGGGCAUCCAUCACCUCUCUGGGUAAACUGAGCCAGUUUUUCACCAAAUAAAAAAAGACCACUUCUUUCCUUGAAAAUACAGUCUGUUAUACACAGGAUAAAGCUAAAUAUGUCUAAGAAUGCUUGUAUUUUACUUUAGUUUUUUUUUAAGCAUUAGAAAGCUGCUUAUGUAUUUGUUUUCUUGAAGACACUGCCUGCCUUAUAGGUACAGAAAAACACUUGAGACCCCUCAUGACGAUAAAAAUUUGAAGAGCACCUGAAUGAAAGAGCCAACUAAAAUAAGUUUUAUGGUAAUUUCUGACAAAUGGCCAAGCGCUUUGAAGUUCACUCUUCAGAAACAGAGAGACCAAAGUUCUGUUGAUUCUGGUUCAACCCAAAAGAAGAAUGAUAUGGCAAUAAAUACAGAGGGAUGCAAAAUUUCACUGGGAGCUGAGGUCUUAUGUAUCUGCUGUCUGUCUGUAAACAAGGACACAAUGUCAGUUCCAGGUAUCAUCAUUUUGUCAGUCAGGUCAAAGGCUUUGGCUCCUGUUUUCUGGUUCAAGAGUUCCCUUCACUUAUGUGCGUGAAUCUGUGUGUUUAUCUGCAGAUGAGGUCUGUGCCAAUGUUUUGAUAGAAGUUUCUCCUAUCUGGGCUGGACCCAUGAUCAAUACAUGUCUCUUUCACUCUUUAGUUCCUUUGAUUUGGUGUUUUAGAGCAAAGGUGCUGCAGACACCACAACGGUACAGUAUUCAUAUAAAUGUUGCCAAUAAGAGUUUAUUCUGAAAUCUGGAAGACUGUGUGGGAAUGGUGUACUGUAUUCACCACAUUACCCUCCAUUUGACCAGGAAAGGACCAUCUUGUACACUUACUUGUAAACCAUCUCAGAUAGCAUCAGUAGCAGCCUUACUCUGAAGUCCUUUAUAGCAAUCCAUGUUUAGAAGAUGUAAUUGCUCUUGAACAAAGACCUGGCAAUUGUGAAACAUCUUCUGCUCAAGAAAGUGCUACCAGGCCCUUUAUGUUAUGCUUGUCUUCCCUCUUCUUGCAAUAAGGAAGGAAGGGGGGGAAAAAGGAAAUGCCCGUGGAGUCUUUUUCAUAAUGAUACAACUACUGAGCAUCUAGAGGAAUUGCCACACAGCAGGCUUCAAUCAAAUAAGAGGUUGUUUUUCAGACAAUGCAGACUCAACUACCAGAGACUUAAAAUGAUAAACAUAGAGGACAAAUGGUCACUAAACAAUCUCCAGUUCAGAAAGCUGCCCUCCACUGAGGCUUGGAGUCUCUAAAAUAAAGUUUCCAUCAACCAUCAUGUUAAACCAUUCACACUGCAGGAAGCCAAGGGAUGUUGCUUCUUCUUGAGCACCAUCACUGAACUCUGAAGCAGUUGUUAAAAAUGGUUCAGCCUGCCUACCCCCAAACAACUCAGAACACUCCUCAAAGGCUUUCUGCCCCUUGCUGCGUGCCAGCCUGCAAAUAAGCAAGAAGCCAUUCACCUCCCUUUCAGCAGCUGGAGUACAAGGUACAGAAAUAUCCUCCCUUUUGGAGCUGGCUCAAGAGGAGGCCCUUCACAUGUGGGAAUUAAUACAUUGAAAGGACUGUUAUCUUUGCAGGACUUCUUUUUUAAUUGAAUAAUUUAAUUUACAGUGUUCCCAGCUGCCUGGAAUGCAGUUCUCCUUUGAGUUUGCCUGUAGGAACACUGAGGAUUUAUGUAGCAUUCUCAGCAAUAAGAAGGGAAUGGCAUUGCUUUGAUCUUUUUCUUGGUUUUGUGUUUUUUUUUUUUUAUUUUACAGUAGGUGACAAUAUGCGAGACUGUAUAUCCCACAUUCAGAGAGGCAGUCACUUUUCUUGAGUUUAUUUGCACAUUGUAUCUUCUUCUGUUUCAGUAGAUGACAAAAAUUGUUUU